AACAUAGUGAAGCUCUGUGGGAUUAUACUGCUCUACAGCUCCCUGCUCCUUCUGGAAUGCUGGUUUAGAUCAACUUGUGUCAAGAAACAGGAACAGAGCCCAGAGGCAGCAGCACAUGUCAAUCGUGUCAUUGAAAAUCAAGAUUAAAACCAUUUGUGUUUAGUGUUUCCUGCUUAUGUUGUAUUUUAUCAGAUACCUGCAAAACAACAAAUACUAGAGCCGCUUUAUAUUGAAUAUUAA